rnacentral:rRNA from 1 species
GACAGAGGAGCCAAGCGUUGUCCGGACUGACUGGGCGUAAAGCGCACGCAGGCGGCGCUGUGCGUGGGGGUGUGAAAGCUCUUGGCUUAACUGAGAGAGGCCAUCCCAUACGGCAGCGCUCGAGCGGUGCAGAGGUCCGCGGAAUUGCCGGUGUAGUGGUGAAAUGCGUAGAUAUCUGGAGGAACACCGGUGGCGAAGGCGGCAUCCUGGACCGGUAUUGACGCUGAGGCGCGAAAGCCAGGGGGAGCAAACGGGG